AUUGAACGCUGGCGGCAUGCCUAACACAUGCAAGUCGAACGAGUGGCGGACGGGUGAGUAAUGUCUGGGAAACUGCCCGUUGGAGGGGGAUAACUACUGGAAACGGUAACUUAUACCGCAUACCAUCGGAUGUGCCCAGUUGGGAUUAGAUAGUAGGUGGGGUAACGGCUCACCUAGGCGACGAUCCCUAGCUGGUCUGAGAGGAUGACCAGUCACACUGGAAAUGAGACACGGUCCAGACUCCUACGGGAGGGAGCAGUGGGGAAUAUUGAGAAAUGGGCGCAAGACUGAGGCAGACAUGCCGCGGUAAUUC
rnacentral:rRNA from 1 species